rnacentral:tRNA from 1 species
CAAUGGAUUGAAGCUCCAUGUGUCGGCGGUUCGAUUCCGUCCCGCGCCA